UCUGGCGAUGAUGACACACUUGCCCUCACUGAGAACGCUGUUCAGUAAUGAGAACCUCACCGUGUACUCUGAGCCAGA
ensembl:snoRNA